AGGUUCCGUCGUUUAGUAGAUAGAAAUCUGGUUCCUGAGUUGUCUGUGGGGACAAACUGGUAUCUCAGCUUCCAGGGUACGGCAUGGUUGUGCAACAGGUCAAGACAGCUACAGAGUGAAACUGGAGACCAGCGAAUCUCACGGCUAUAGCACUAUAUCCGAGAGAGGAUUCCUUUCUGUGACGCUACAGGUGAAACUGCUGCAAAGGCGUUACUCAGCAGCUGAUCCCUGCAUCAACCGCAUACCGGGCACCACAUCGCCCCCUGCUGGAACAGACAGAGCAAAAUGAGUGUGGACUCCAUGGACAGCGGCGCGAUCCAACGAUGGAACAGAAUCGUGCGUGGAGCAGCUCGGAGCGAGGCUAUGAGGG